GUUUUGCUGCUCUCUCACCUCUCCAGGAGAGAGACACAUUCAUCUGUCAGCUUAUCGGAGGAAUUUCCAACAAUCUGUGGCAACGGUACAAGUCUCAAUCUUGCUGACUGAUAGCAAAUAGAAGUACACAGCAGCACCCGCCCGGCAUAGAUGGGGCACGAGAGAGGAUCCGGAUGGAUCAGUGAGGAUUCAUCUUCUCCCAAUGAAUCCCUCAGUCGCCCCCGGCCCCACGCUGCUGGUCCUGCUGUCUGUCUGUGGGAGCUCGAUGUCGAGCUGUGAGCACGGUGGCAUCUCAUCUCCUCUCCAGCACUGGCAGACAACUCGUUUUUAGGGCUAAACAUGAAUACCAGAUCCUUUCCCAGCAACACUCCCAGGGCUGGAGCUGGAUGCUAUGGAAGAAGCCAAAUCCACAACUGCAAAAGAAAACAUGGUCCCAAUCAGCGUUAAUUACUCAGGAGCUCAACUCUCAGCACCUUUCUCCUCCUCUCCUGCUUUUCUCCCGUCCUGCCUCUGCUCUGUCAACCCCUCCAUCAUUAAAUCUGUGAUGUCUGGUGGCUCCAAACAACGCUCCGGUUGUUGGCUAAUUCUCAGUGAGACUUUUAUUCCAAAGGCUUCUCCAACAGCCUGAUGAUAUAAUAACAGCUUGCUCAUUACCCCGAAUAUAAAUAGUUGAAGUAUCCCCCGAGAAUGGACACAGCUGGUGGAACUUCCCAUAUUAGCACCGCAUUAAUAUUUAUGGCAGCCCCGCAAAAAGCUUUUAUUGAGGGGAAGCUGAAGAACAGAAAGCAGAACAAAAUCUGGAGCAUUUCUACUGACUGAUGGCAUCCAUGAACACCGCAGGCUCCCGUGUAACUCACAGCCUGUGGCUGAAGGCUUGAGCACAAGAAACUCCCAUGUGACAAGUGUCUGAUGGACCUCGAGGGGCUGAUAACUCUGAACGACACCGAAAUGGGGACACGCAGACCUUAACGACGUGCCCUAAUGGAGAUGCAGGAGGGACACCACCAGCUGAAUGACCCUCUCAGAGACAGUGGUGGGGUGCUCCGAAGCCAACGUUGGUGUGCUCCGAAGCCAACGUUGGUGUGCUCCAAAGCCAACGUUGGUGUGCUCCAAAGCCAACGUUGAUGGAGCAACGUAGAAUCUGCUGUCAACCAUACAGAUAGCACAGGGGUUCUCCACCUCAGAAACGUGGCCAGUGAGACACCACUUGAACAGUGAAUAUUUUUGGAGACCCCCUUUGAGGGCAGGGGGAGGUUUGGUCUGUGCAGGCACCGACUUUCCCAAGGCUCCUCAGAGCAGAGAGGGAUGUGGGGGGAGGCACAGGAGCAGCAAUGGGACCUGCUGCUGGUCCUGGGGAGGAAAAGGGUAACAGGGACCCCACUCCUCGCUGCCGCGCUGGGUAAAAUUAAUUGAUAAAACAUAAUCGCUGUAUCAAUGCCUUUUUAGAAAAGAUAAAGCACAUUUCAAAGCUAAUUUAGGCCUGCAGACAAAUGGCUUAAAGAAGAGCUACUGUACUGAAAAAUGUCCAUGUCAUUUUUUCCCCAAAUCAUAGUUUCAAUGCACACAGCCUCAGCCUGACAUUCUGAAUUAUGGCUUUUAUUAAACAUUAGUAAUAGAGUGCACUUAAAUCAUGGUUUUCCUGUAAAA